rnacentral:lncRNA from 1 species
CUGUUACGAGGACUGUACACCCCCUGGUUCCCUGUGUCAGUGCCUUUGAACCUCCUCCCCACUUUUCAGGGGACCUGGGGGCCCUGCCUGCUUCUCCCCUUUUCUGUCCCCUCUCUUCAUGCUGCCAUGUUUCUCUGCUGCCAAAGUGGGCUCCUUAGCCCCAGUUCUGCUUUUGGGGUGGGGGCAGGAUUUCUGUCAUCCCAUACCUUGGAGCCCCAGCCUAGGAACAGUGGACACCAAGUGCCUUUCAUAGAGCCCCAUCUUGCCCACUCAGCUUUCCCAGGGGUGUGGCUACCAUCAUCAGCUCCUGCCUGGACUGGCCUGCAGGUUGCUGAGGUCUAGGCCGGUCCAGGGGGAACCAGUCUCUUCUCACCCCCACGCCUCCCUUGGAACUGACAGAGCCCCCACCAGUUCCUGUCUAGGCAGGGGAAGGCCCAGAGGGAAGAACCUCUUACCCCUUGUGAAGGGAGCAAGGGUCUUUCCUUCAGGACCCACAUUCCAGCUUCUCCAAGGCUGAUGGCUGCUCCUUAUGUCACCCAAGCUGUGACCCCUUCCUUCUGCCUUAAUUACCCCAAGGCCC